rnacentral:tRNA from 1 species
UGGUUCAGUUGGUAGAGCGUGGCGCUUACAAUGCUGAGGUUGUGGGUUCGAAUCCCCAC